rnacentral:lncRNA from 1 species
UUUCUCUAACUAUAAAAUAACAAAUGCUCUUAUUUAAUACUCAACUUAUUAUAAUACACCAAAGAUUUAUACAUCAAUAUUAUUAAUUCAGAAUCAUUGAUAUAUUUUACCCCUAUUUUUCCUUGGAAUAUUACUUUUUUGUGCCAUUAAACCUAUUAAAAACAGAUUAUUUUAUAACUGAUUUAAUAAUCAUACAACCCACG